rnacentral:rRNA from 1 species
GAUGAACGCUGGCGGCGUGCCUAAUACAUGCAAGUCGAGCGAACGGACGAGAAGCUUGUUUCUCUGAUGUUAGCGGCGGACGGGUGAGUAACACGUGGAUAACCUACCUAUAAGACUGGGAUAACUUCGGGAAACCGGAGCUAAUACCGGAUAAUAUUUUGAACCGCAUGGUUCAAAAGUGAAAGACGGUCUUGCUGUCACUUAUAGACGAAUCCGCGCUGCAUUAGCUAGUUGGUAAGGUAACGGCUUACCAAGGCAACGAUGCAUAGCCGACCUGAGAGGGUGAUCAGCCACACUGGAACUGAGACACGGUCCAGACUCCUACGGGAGGCAGCAGUAGGGAAUCUUCGGCAAUGGGCGAAAGCCUGACGGAGCAACGCCGCGUGGGUGAUGAAGGUCUUCGGAUCGUAAAACUCUGUUGUUAGGGAAGAACAUAUGUGUAAGUAACUGUGCACAUCUUGACGGUACCUAAUCAGAAAGCCACGGCUAACUACGUG